rnacentral:rRNA from 1 species
UACAGAGGUCUCAAGCGUUGUUCGGAUUCAUUGGGCGUAAAGGGUGCGUAGGCGGCGCGGUAAGUCGGGUGUGAAAUCUCGGGGCUUAACUCCGAAACUGCAUUCGAUACUGCCGUGCUUGAGGACUGGAGAGGAGACUGGAAUUUACGGUGUAGCGGUGAAAUGCGUAGAUAUCGUAAGGAAGACCAGUGGCGAAGGCGGGUCUCUGGACAGUUCCUGACGCUGAGGCCCGAAGGCUAGGGGAGCAAACGGG